AAUCCGUUAAUUCAAUUCGAAUCAAUUCGAUCUGUGUGGUUCGAUUCAGUUUUCAAAUCUCAUGGUUCGGUGGUGGUUUGAAAAAUCUGUAAUUCGAUAUUCGCAGAUCAGUUAACAGAUUGGACUUUGAAAAAUCCAAUUUAAAUCGUUAACCGAUCCGAUCCGAACCGUUAUCGAAUCGAACAGUUAACCAAUCCGAACCGAAUCGUUAAAUAAAUAAUAUAUUUCACAUAUCUAUAUAUAUAUACACAUACACACACAAUAUGCCCCUUUUUUUUUUUUUUUUUUUUUCCUCUAUUCAUUAUUCUUUUAAUGUUAACCUAAUCUUAGCCUCGCCUCUUCAUUACUCUAAUCUCAUUUCAACCGCGCCUCUUCAUUACUCCAAUCUCAUUUCAGCCGCGCCUCUCUCACUAACUCAGCCUCUUCUCUCCACCCUCUUCAGUCUUCUCCUCUCGCCUCUGUGACACUUUUCGCCUCUGUCUUCCUCUCGCCUCUCAAUCUCUCGCCUCUCAAUCUAACACCUCUCAACCAUCAUUCACUAGAUUUGAAACAACGGCGACCUCUGCGUAUUGAAGCAACGGCGACCUCUUCGACUGGAUCUACCUUUUUUCCGGGUUAGCAUCGGGCCUUAACAUUUAGCAAGAAUAAGGUUCAAGAAAUAUGUCUCCUCAGUCAUUAGGUAACAAACUCUUACUUUUUCUAAAAUUUUAAUUGGCAUUUUUGGCUAUUGGUUACGUUUAUUUAUUCAUGUUUUACGUACUGCUUUUUUAUUUUUGUUUUUGUUUCUACAUACAUAUAUAUAAUAUUGUUAUGAUGUGAUGCUUGAACGAUCUUGUUAUGUUGUGAUGCUCGAACAAUUUAUUAAUGGGAAUUAAAGACUUGGAAGUUUAGUUUUUAAUUUCAGAAUAUAUGUUUUACAAGUUUAUUAACGCUUUUAAAACUUUUUCUCUUUUGUCCUAAUAAUAUAGGUCUUUUUUUUGAAAGAAGAGAGUCAAUAGGAAUGGGUGGAGUUGGCAAAAAAGAAAAUAGGUACGUUUUUUUGUUUAGCUAAUUGAAUUAUAUAAAUCUCAUUACCGUUGUAGCAGUGAUGUUGGUUUUAAAAUGACUAACUACGAUAGGAAGUCUCUUUCCAGUUUAUCUUAAUCAAAUGUAUAUUUAUGUAAUAGGAUUACGUGAUUAUAGAAUUACGUGAUUCUAGAUGACGAGUGAUGACAAUUGAUGAUGUUGAUAAGUGCUAUCUUCGGAAACAUCCUCUGUUCAUGGAUGAUUUAUUACUUUGAUGCCACAUGAUGUCGAUUAGCCUGCGCUGACGAAACUCAUCACAAUCUAAUGUAUUGAAGAAGACCCCAAAUAAAUGGUGUCCCAAUGGGUGGGACACCUUCAUCCCAAGUAAUGCAAUUACGAAAUCAGUUUGCAAAUAUUCGAUGCAGAAAAAGCGAAAAAGGCAUGCAGCAUCGUUCGGUACUCGUAGGCAUGAGGUGUAUUCUGACGAAGAAGUUGCAAUUGAGAUCAUUGAGAUGUUCCCCGGGUUCUUAUCUACCUUGCACGAGAUGUGGGUGAACAACAUUCCCUCUGACAACAUAUCAGAAUUUUCUUAUGGUUCUUUGUUUAGAAGACGAUUCUUCUUAAUCAAAUGUAUACUUAUGCAAUAGGAUUACGUGAUUCUAGAUGACAAUUCUUCCUAAUCAAAUGUAUAUUUAUGUAAUAGAAUUACGUAAUUUUAGAUGACGAUUCUAGAUGAGGAUUUUAAUGCUCUACUGAUGACGAUGAUGUUGAUAAGUGAUGAUGAGGAUGUUAAUUACUUCUGUUAUAUAUGUUGAUGCACUCAAAUUAAAUUUGU